rnacentral:rRNA from 1 species
AGUGAACGCUGGCGGUAGGCCUAACACAUGCAAGUCGAACGGAAGCACAGUAAGAGCUUGCUCUUACGGGUGGCGAGUGGCGGACGGGUGAGGAAUACAUCGGAAUCUACUUUUUCGUGGGGGAUAACGUAGGGAAACUUACGCUAAUACCGCAUACGACCUACGGGUGAAAGCAGGGGAUCUUCGCACCUUGCGCGAUUGAAUGAGCCGAUGUCGGAUUAGCUAGUUGGCGGGGUAAAGGCCCACCAAGGCGACGAUCCGUAGCUGGUCUGAGAGGAUGAUCAGCCACACUGGAACUGAGACACGGUCCAGACUCCUACGGGAGGCAGCAGUGGGGAAUAUUGGACAAUGGGCGCAAGCCUGAUCCAGCCAUACCGCGUGAGUGAAGAAGGCCUUCGGGUUGUAAAGCCCUGUUGUUGGGAAAGAAAAGCAGCAUGUUAAUACCCCGCUGUUCUGACGGUACCCAAAGAAUAAGCACCGGCUAACUUCGUG